rnacentral:rRNA from 1 species
GACGAACGCUGGCGGCGUGCCUAAUACAUGCAAGUCGAGCGGACCAAACAGGAGCUUGCUCUUGUUUGGUUAGCGGCGGACGGGUGAGUAACACGUGGGUAACCUGCCCGUAAGACCGGGAUAACUCCGGGAAACCGGAGCUAAUACCGGAUAACACCGAAGACCGCAUGGUCUUUGGUUGAAAGGCGGCUUCGGCUGCCACUUACGGAUGGGCCCGCGGCGCAUUAGCUAGUUGGUGAGGUAACGGCUCACCAAGGCGACGAUGCGUAGCCGGCCUGAGAGGGUGACCGGCCACACUGGGACUGAGACACGGCCCAGACUCCUACGGGAGGCAGCAGUAGGGAAUCUUCCGCCAUGGACGAAAGUCUGACGGAGCGACGCCGCGUGAGCGAAGAAGGUCUUCGGAUCGUAAAGCUCUGUUGUUAGGGAAGAAGAAGCGCCGUUCGAACAGGGCGGCGCGGUGACGGUACCUAACGAGAAAGCCCCGGCUAACUACGUG